rnacentral:rRNA from 1 species
UACGGGGGGAGCAAGCGUUGUUCGGAUUUACUGGGCGUAAAGCGUGCGCAGGCGGUUUGUUAAGUCCGCUGUGAAAUCCCCGAGCUCAACUUGGGAAUUGCAGUGGAUACUGGCAAGCUGGAGUAUGGUAGAGGAAGGUGGAAUUCCCGGUGUAGCAGUGAAAUGCGUAGAGAUCGGGAGGAACACCAGUGGCGAAGGCGGCCUUCUGGACCAAUACUGACGCUCAUGCACGAAAGCGUGGGGAGCAAACAGG